CCUACGGGAGGCAGCAGUGGGGAAUAUUGCACAAUGGGGGAAACCCUGAUGCAGCGACGCCGCGUGAGUGAAGAAGUAUUUCGGUAUGUAAAGCUCUAUCAGCAGGGAAGAAGAAAGACGGUACCUGACUAAGAAGCCCCGGCUAACUACGUGCCAGCAGCCGCGGUAAUACGUAGGGGGCAAGCGGUAUCCGGAUUUACUGGGUGUAAAGGGAGCGUAGACGGCUGUGCAAGUCUGAAGUGAAAGCCCAGGGCUCAACCCUGGGACUGCUGUUGAAACUGGGGAGCUAGAGUGCGGGAGAGGUAAGUGGAAUGCGUGGUGUAGCGGUGAAAUGCGUAGAUAUUAGGAAGAACACCAGUUGCGAAGGCGGCUUACUGGACAGUAACUGACGUUGAGGCUCGAAAGCGUGGGGAGCGAACAGGAUUAGAUACCCUUGUAGUC
rnacentral:rRNA from 1 species